rnacentral:rRNA from 1 species
UGGCGGCGUGCCUAAUACAUGCAAGUAGAACGCUGAAGAGAGGAGCUUGCUCUUCUUGGAUGAGUUGCGAACGGGUGAGUAACGCGUAGGUAACCUGCCUGGUAGCGGGGGAUAACUAUUGGAAACGAUAGCUAAUACCGCAUAAAAUGGAUUAUCGCAUGAUAAUUCAUUGAAAGGUGCAAAUGCAUCACUACCAGAUGGACCUGCGUUGUAUUAGCUAGUUGGUGGGGUAACGGCUCACCAAGGCGACGAUACAUAGCCGACCUGAGAGGGUGAUCGGCCACACUGGGACUGAGACACGGCCCAGACUCCUACGGGAGGCAGCAGUAGGGAAUCUUCGGCAAUGGACGGAAGUCUGACCGAGCAACGCCGCGUGAGUGAAGAAGGUUUUCGGAUCGUAAAGCUCUGUUGUAAGAGAAGAACGAGUGUGAGAGUGGAAAGUUCACACUGUGACGGUAUCUUACCAGAAAGGGACGGCUAACUACGUGCCAGCAGCCGCGGUAAUACGUAGGUCCCGAGCGUUGUCCGGAUUUAUUGGGCGUAAAGCGAGCGCAGGCGGUUAGAUAAGUCUGAAGUUAAAGGCUGUGGCUUAACCAUAGUACGCUUUGGAAACUGUUUAACUUGAGUGCAAGAGGGGAGAGUGGAAUUCCAUGUGUAGCGGUGAAAUGCGUAGAUAUAUGGAGGAACACCGGUGGCGAAAGCGGCUCUCUGGCUUGUAACUGACGCUGAGGCUCGAAAGCGUGGGGAGCAAACAGGAUUAGAUACCC